CUACGGGGGACUGCAGUUAGGAAUAAUCUACAAUGCACGAAAGUGUGAUAGUUUGAGCCAGAGUGCGUUUCUAUUGAAACGCUUUUAUGAAAUGUAAAAAGUUUUUUGAAUAAGGACUGGGUAAGACUAGUGCCAGCCGCCGCGGUAAUACUAGCGGUCCAAGUCGCAGCCAUUUUUAUUGGGUCUAAAACAUCCGUAGCUUGCUUAGUAAGUCUUCUGUGAAAUUUCAUAUCUUAAAUAUGAAGCGGGCAGAAGGUACUAUUAAGCUAGAGACCGGAAGGCGUAAGAAGUACGUUCGAAGUAGCGGUUAAAUGUGUUAAUCUCGAGCGGACUCACAAUAGCGAAGGCAUCUUACGAGAACGGUUCUGACAGUCAGGGAUGAAGGCUAGGGGCGCAAAGCGGAUUAGAUACCCGUGUAGUC
rnacentral:rRNA from 1 species